CCUACGGGCGGCAGCAGUGAGGAAUAUUGGUCAAUGGGCGAGAGCCUGAACCAGCCAAGUCGCGUGAGGGAGUACUGCCCUAUGGGUUGUAAACCUCUUUUGUCGGGGAGCAAAAGCCGGACGUGUCCGGCUGUGAGAGUACCCGAAGAAAAAGCAUCGGCUAACUCCGUGCCAGCAGCCGCGGUAAUACGGAGGAUGCGAUGUUUAUCCGGAUUUAUUGGGUUUAAAGGGUUAGCAGGCGGAUUUUUAAGUCAGCGGUAAAAUCGUGGGGCUCAACCCCAUCCAGCCGUUGAAACUGGGGAUCUAGAGUGUGCGAGAGGUAUGCGGAAUGCGUGGUGUAGCGGUGAAAUGCAUAGAUAUCACGCAGAACCCCGAUUGCGAAGGCAGCAUACCGGUGCACAACUGACGCUCAGGCACGAAAGCGUGGGUAUCGAACAGGAUUAGAUACCCGGGUAGUC
rnacentral:rRNA from 1 species